AUGAAUUUCACUUGGUUUCUCUCCAUCACUCUUUUGAAUAAAAUCUUUCAGCUGAGAAAAAUGAUUCAGGGAAAUAGUAACACUAAAACCAUUGAGCGAAGUAAGGAGGUCCGUGAUUGUUCAGUUACUAUAUUUUCAGGAAGAAAUGUCUUUACAGUUACUUUCAUAUGAAGAUUUCAUUUUCCCAGAGUUUGUGAUUUUCCCUCUUACUUGAUCUUUGUCCACUUCAAAACCAUGGGAAAGUGGAAGACACCUUCUCAUUUUUAAAAGGCAAACCUUUGGUUUUAAUUAGUCAUGACUGCAUAGAGAAAGUUACCAUUGGAAAAGGUUUGGUGUUAUCAUCAGGUGGCAGGAGCUGGGAAGCCAGUAUUCACAUGGGAGAAGUGGAGUUUGCUCCAUUCUCACAGGUUUUUGGUGGCCAAAGAGAAGAAAAUCCCCACACUGAACUAAAUGCCCUUUUGAAGUAUUGUAAAGUUGUGUUUCUCAAACAUUUUGCUUAAAAAUAGAAGCAGGGAAUGAAAAAGUAAUUGAAAAUCAGUGUCAUUCCUUCAAAAGCCAUUUCCUUCAGAGAAACACUGGUUCCUGAAUUAAAAAAGAUAUUAAUUUUAGGGGUUUUUUUUCAUGCUACUCCAAUUAACACUAUCCAGACAAAUACUCUUAGUUUUGAGUAUAGGACAAAUCUAACCAAAUCCACACAUACUAUUUUCAUCACAUUCUUUGUAUCUGGAUCUUUCCUGUCCUCUAGCAGACCUACUGCGACUAUUUAAAAACCCCAACGGCAGUUUUCCCAGGCAAGUCUGUUUAUGACCCACCUCAGCACAGAAGGCAUAUCUUCGUUUUGUUUUGCCGAGGUGAGCAGCUCCGGAGAGCUUCAACACCAGAGCAAAGAGAAACAUCACGUCCCGGAGCUUCAAUCCUGAGCAGCGAGAGCCACCGAAAAAGCCUCAAGUGUUCGACAGGACGUGCCCAGGAGCUGCUGACUUAUAGGGGGUGGCGCCAGGAGGGACGGCACCGCCCUGAGCGGGUAAAACACUCCCCAGGGAGCGCAGUGAGCAGGACCUCAGCGCUAGCGCCGCUAGGUGUGCGGAUGGGGAGCACUCGCCCCAGGGCCAGGACCCGGUCUAGCAGCUCUGCUUUGGCUGCCCCGGCGCUGCCAGCAACGGCACUAGGCAGAACUGGUGAGAGGGGAGGCUGCAGCGCAGAGCUCGGAGCGUGGAAAGUGCCUCCGCUGGUCUCUUGGGGCGAGGGUGCGCAAUGGGCAGCGCUGCGCUCGGUGCGCCCUGAUGGAGGUCCUCCUGAAGCGGGGGCUGAGCUGCGGGACACUGUCAGUAGCUAAAAGAAGGGGAAGCUGAGAGGGAGCUGGACUGCUUGCUCCAGGCCCGAACUGUGCAGGGAUCACAAGUGUCCACCGUAGCGUACAGAAAAGGAGUAGGGUGUUAAUCCAGGAAUCUGGGAGCAAGUAACAAAAAAAGGAGGAAGAGGACAGUUAAGGGCAAGGGGCUUCCUCCAAAAUCUGCUGUCCUCACCCAGAGUCAUUUCACAGCUCUGCAGGGGGCUAACGAGGAAACACACCCUUUGCCAAAUGAACAGCCUGCUGAUGCACCAGUAAGGAGGAUCACUACUAGUGCCUCCAGGAGAAAGCAGCAACUCUUAGGUGACUCCACUGUGAAAGGCACAGAGGCACCCAGUUGUCAGCCUGACCCAGUCUCGAGGGAGGUGUGUUGCCUGCUGGGGGAUCAGAUCAGGGAUGUUGCUGGGAGGCUGCCUGGUCUAGUAAGUUGGAGCAAGUCCAGAGGAGGCCACGAGGAUGAUAAGGGGCUGGAGCACCUCCCAUAUGAAGACAGGCUGAGAACACUGGGGUGUUCAGCCUCGAGAAGACAAGCUGCAUGGAGACCUCAGAGCAGCUGCAGUGUCUGAAGGGGGCUACAAGGAUGCUGGAGAGAGACUCUUCAUCAGGAAGUGUAGCGAUAGGACAAGGGGUGAUGGGUUUAAACUUAAACAGGGGAAGUUCAGGUUAGAUAUAAGGAAGUUCUUUACUGUGAGGGUGGUGAGGUGCUGGAAUGGGUUGCCCAAGGAAGCUGUGAAUGCUCCAUCCCUGGCAGUGUUCAAGGCCAGGUUGGAUGGAGUCUUGGGUGACAUGGGUUAGUGUGCAAUGUCCCUG
ensembl:lncRNA